rfam:Proteus mirabilis strain HI4320, complete genome
GGUAAAGAUUAACUCCUAGCCUUAACAUCUAAGUCAACAAGCUUUAUCCAAAGGAUAUGAUGUUCUGGCCGUGACUAACUAAGUCACCAGGGUGCACGGUAGAAAUGCCCGCAUCUCCCGAAUUUGGAAAGGUGUUAUUAUGCAACAACU